GAGAACUGAUUAAUUGAAAGCUGGAAUGAGAGAGUAACGACUUGAAACGGCUUCCCUAAUCCUCCGAUAUGCGUUUAAAUAGGUGAAAAUUUAAUCGUAUAAAGCUCGGUGAAGUCAGCUGAAAAAAGCCGUAAAUAAGACAAGUUCUUAUACGAAAAAGAUCCAGAGGUGGAUCUCGCUUUUGAUAGGCUGGGGGUCUUAUAA
rfam:Carnobacterium sp. AT7 1101238000987, whole genome shotgun sequence.